AAAAAAAAAGAAAAAAACCUCUGUGCCACGGCUUUUAAGGUCACUAACCGUUCGCAAACGGAAAACGCUGGUCCUCUGAAAUGAGACCGCACUGCAGGAAGCCGGGGCGAUGGCGGGGAGCCCCAGUGGGCCGGGGCGAUGCCCAACCGGCGCCGCUGGCUGCGGUAUACGCGACGCCGCCGCUUCGCCUUGUCCCCGCGUCCACGUGUGCUGCCGGGCGCGUUUGGAAACAACAGAUGUUUUUACAUGGAGAGAUUACCGAGUGCCGUAUGUUAAUACCGCUCGCCCUUCAGGAAAAAAAAAAAAAGAAAAAAAAAAGAAAAAAAAAGAAAAAACCCAAACAAACAAACAAAAAACCCACACACAAACUUUUCUCCUUUUGCCGAGCUACUCCGGCCACUUAAAGGUAUACGUCAGCGAAGUGAACCCCGCCGGCGUGUUCUCGGUGCGGUGCAGCAGUGUGUCAGAUCCGCGGGACGGGACGAACAGACCCCAGCUCGUCGCUUCAGUGCUUGAAACCUGAAGACUGGAGUGUGAAACAUGAGAAUCUGAAAGUGAAACCGACUGGAAGGCAGGAAAAAAAAAGAAGAAAAAAAAAACACACAACCAAAAACAGAAACAGACGAAUGUAUUUCCACUUUCCAUGCUGAGGAAAGCCCCAGAAGCAAACACCAUAUAUAAUAAAAUAUGCUUUAGAUUUGAAAGAAAAUUAUUCCAGCUGCGGUCACUGGAUACAGCCUAUGUUGUUAUUUUCUUUUUUUUUUUCUUCCCCCUUUUUUUCUUUAAUAUCUGAUUAUUAUCUGCUUAAUUGUAAAAUUCAUGUGCAUUCAGUGGGAACAAAGUGAUAUAAUUCACUCUUUCCUUUGGUUUCUGAUUAAAGGUUGGAAAGAAAUUUGUAUCCCACAGGAACUGCUGCACGUUGCCUAUGUAUUUUGAAGGAGUCAUUUCCAACUUCCACCAGUUGUUUCCAUACUGCAUUUUUGGAUAGAAAUUCCACAUGUGGGAUAAGAGUGUUACAGUCGUCCUGCAUUGCAGAGGGCUGGAAGUCCUUAUGGGAAGGAGUACCAGCUGGAAGGGUGGAUGCAUCACUAGAUGAAAGACUACCUGGCCAAGUAACCAGAGAUGCGGCGUGUGUUAGCAGACUGUCCUCCUUGCUCCAUUUUUCAAGGGACACUUUCAACAGGGUAGGCAUCAAACUGAGUGGUCAAAUGGAGCACACACAGAAUUGCUUGUUGCUUUCAGAUGCUUUUGUCACUUAAUCAUUGUUUGAAAUGACCCAGUGAUGAGAGGUGGGCAGGCUAGCAGUAUGUUGUUUAAGUUCUUACACCAAAAACCAUCUUGAAAAAGCUUUUGCUGCCUUAGCUAUGACUUCAAGAAGUAAUUGAAAAUGACCGCAUGAGGCUAUGAAUAAUCCUCAAUUUAAUAUGGCUAUCCAGGAAAAGAGCUACUGUAGAGAAGAGAGAAAUCUUUGAAUUAAGAGUUCACCUAAUCUGCAAAAUCUGCCGGUCUGCAAGUGAUGAGGAAAAGGAGCAACUAUAUGAAAAGUGAGAAUGAACUUCAAUGGCUGUAUGGUCCAGCAAAAUGCCCAUGAUGUAGUGAAGUCUUCCCUCUGAGUACCUCAUUUGGCAUGAGAGUCUGGAAGCAACACUCUUGCACCACUGGAAGAUGCUGCUGAAUGCUGAAAAAAAUUAAAAUAAACAUGAGAUAAGUUCAACACAGUAAGUCAAAGCAUAUCAAUUAAGGGAUGCUGGAAUUCUUGUCAUAUAGAGCGAUGAAAAUAAAAAUACUGCAUGGAAGCUACAGAACUCUUAAUAUUCAAUGGAUAUCUCUGCAGGCAAGGAGGACAACAAGGAUGUUUUUGUGACUGUGAAACUUUCUAGUUCUGCUCAUCUCGGGUUCUGGAUAAUUGGAUUUUCCAGCAUGCAGAUGCUUGCAUCUUUGCUAUUUGGAGAGAGAAGUGUUUGCAGCUUCCAGUCAACUGGGACCUCUCCACAUUCCCAAGACUAUUGAAAAAUAACUAAGGGAGUUCUUGUGAUGACAUCAGCCAUUGAAUACCCAGGAAUGAAUCCCAUCAGGCUCUGUGAACUUGUAUUUAUCCAGGUGUAGCAGCAAAUCCUGUAUACGCUGUCUGGGAGUUGGCUGUUACUGCAGUCAUAGUCUUCUGACUUGGGGCACUUGGGGAGCUAGAACCUAUCAUCAGUGUUGAAGACAGAGGCAAAGAAUGUCUUGGAAGUUUUUCCUUAGUCUAUACCCUUGUUUGUAAGGUGACCAUUCUCAUCAAGUAAUGAACCAAUGUCCUCUCUGGCCCUCCUUUUGUUAGCAUAUUAAAAAAACAAACAAAUAAAAAAACAUCUUUAUUGUUCUCCAUUAUAUUGGCCAGCUUCAAUUCUAACUGUGCUUUGGCCACAUGACUUUUUUCCCUAGAAAGGUGAAGACCAUCCCUGUAGUCUUUGCAUGUUGCCUGCCCUUGCUGCCAGAACUUUCUUUUAGCACCUCGGAUCUCAGAAAUCCCCAUUCACUCACGCCAGCCUCCUGCCCCAUGUGCUUGGCUUCUGAUGCUGGAUUGCCUGUCCUUGUACUUUCAGGAGGUGGUACGUAAAAAAGGCUGGCACUGAUGUACCCCAAUGCCUUCAAAAGCAGUUUAUCUGGUUGCAACUUAAUAUGUUCAGUUUGACAAUCCACAGGUAAUUGUAUUUGUGUUGAUGAAAAUUAGUUGCAAAUGUACAAAAACUGAUUUUUUUUAUUUUUUUAUUUUUUUUUUAGGCAUUUUGAAACUUAUUCUCAAAUUUGUUUAUCAAAAUGGAAAG